CUCUCAAGUAGCUGGGACUAUAGGCACAUGCCACCACACCCAGCUAUUUCAGAUGGGAAAGCUGACACCAUGGUCAACAAUGAAGAAGCAUUUAUUAAUCGACUUGGGGUGGUCUGGCUUUUACAUUGAAGCCCUCCUCCUCCACCUCCUCCUCCUCCCUUUCUCUAUGCCUCUCCCAACCUCCAUCAUUUUCAAGAGUCUGAGAGGAUCUAUGGAAUCAGCAGAGCUGGAUGUCACCAGGGAGAUGGCACAGGAAGGAAGAAAGGCAUCUUGGGAAGUAUAUAAAGAAGUCGUUUCACAGCUUACAGAGGCACAACCACAAUUCUCCCUCAGACCUCAGACUUAGAACUUUGUGCCUGUGAAGUAUAAUAACCAUAGGAAAUUGUCAAAGGUUGUUACACUUUGCUAAGAAACCCUAGAUCCUGCUACACUCCAUGUGGGUGGAGAGAACUGGCUGCCCCAGGUCCGCGGACCUACUCUGCUAUUUGGCAUUCAUGUGAGCAUGAACAAGCACCUAGUUCAGACUUCAUUUUCCCAUCUACAAAAUAAAGACAAGAACACAGACCU